rnacentral:lncRNA from 1 species
GGACUCCGCCUGGACUCCACCGCCCACGGCCGCAUCCCAUCGCCGCACAAGAUCGCCGGAGUCAUAUUAUCGACGUAGUUAAAGCCCACUAGCCUAAAGCCGGGCGGACUGCGAAAAAACCAUGAAAAGCCAUCAAGCCCAAACAAAUUCCUGCUGGAGGAACUCCAGAUGUUGUGCAUCACUUCACAGGAUUUAUGACAGAGCCAAUCAAGGAAAUCAUGAAAGAGAUUGCAGAUAUGGCAAAAAAGGUUUCAAGAUACAAAUCUUGGAGAAAUUCAAGAGCUAAGAGACACCACACCAGAGGAAUUAACAGAAGACCACUUGAUGGAGAUGACUCCUUCUGAACCCAGUGCCAGACGAUGAGGAAGAAGACGAAGCAGUGCCAGAAAACAAAUUGACAUUAGACAAUCUGGCAGAAGGGUUCCACUUAUUCAAUAUGGCUUUUGACUUCUCUUAUAACAUGGACUUUUCUAUGAAACAGGCACUGAAUCUAAAGCAAAUGGUGGAAGAAGAAUUGGUGCUAAAUGGAAACAUGUUUAGAGAAAUGGAAAAGCAAAAAAGUCAGACAAAUUAUGAUGUAUCUCCAUCAGAUUACACUUAUUGUGCCUCCCUCUCCUGCCUCCUCUUCCACCUCUUCUACUUCUGCCACCCCUGAGACAGCAAAGCCAACCCCCGCUUCUCAGCCUAUUCAAGGUGAAAAUUAUGAGGACGGAGACAUUUAUGAUGAUUCACUUACACUUAAUGGAGAGUAAAUAUAUUUUCUCCUCAUGAUUUCCUUAAAACGUUUUCUUUAGCUUACUUUAUUAUAAGAAUACAGUAUAUAACAUAUGUAACAUACAAAAUUGUCGAGUGCGGUGGCUCACAUCUGUAAUCCCAACACUUUGGGAGGCUGAGGCAGACGGAUCACUUGAGACCAGGGGUUUGAGACCAGCCUGGCCAACAUGGCGAAACCCCGUCUCUAUUAAAAAGAUAAAAAUUAGCCAGACAUGAUGGUGCGUGCCUGUAAUCGCACCUACUCGGGAGGCUGAGGCAGGAGAAUCUCUUGAACCCAGGAGGCGGAGGUUGCAGUGAGCCGAGAUUGCACCACUGCACUCCUUGCCUGGGUGACAGAGCAAGACUCCAUCUCAAAAAAAAAAAAGUGUUAAUUGUUUAUGUUGUUGGUAAGACUUCCGAUCAACAGUAGGCUGUUACUACAGUUUUGGGGGAUGGAAUUUUGACUGUGAGGGUCUGUGCCCCUAACCUCAUGUUGCUUAAGGGUCAACUGUACAUAGAUAUGUUACAUACACACACAUACUUCCUCCCUCUCUGUAAUUUGGAUCCUAUGCCUAUUAUCUUUUAGUUUACUAACUUGACUUAAGAAGUCCUGAUCAUUUUUUGAUGUUCAUGCAUACCGUAUAGAUCCUACCUCAUUUGACUCCUACAAAAUAUUUGUUAAGGGUGUUCUAAAAGUUACUUUUUGUAGUUAAACUACACUUUAUUUACAUUUGUUUGUUAUGGAAAUAAUGCAUAAUAAUCGUUAAAAAUCCAAACAAAAGGGGGGAACAUAUUAAAAGAAAAGUAAGGGUCUCCCUGCUACUCUACCUACCUACCCACCUACCUUAUCUGUUACCAUAUCCUAGACCCAACUGCAAUUAACAAUUUCUGGUUUUAGUUCUUCUGGUUCUUUUCAUUAUAACCUUAAAUACUGUACAUAUACAUCUUGACUCACCAGCUGAAAAUCCUUCAAAGGGACAAAAACUUAUUCUUAACUCCUAAUUUAAAAAAUUGUAUUACUUUUAGUUUUGCUAGAAGCUUUCAUGACUUUAGGUUGUUUACCUAAAUCAUUAUUUAUAAAUUUUACACACUGUAUAUUGGCUCCCUACUAGGAGAGGUGAGGAAUUGGUACAUUCUUACUUUCUCGUCUUUUCCCCUCCCCCUCCUAAUUUUGUUAGUUUCAUUCUCAUUUUUAGUCUGUCAAGAAUUUGCAUUCUUUUUGUAAAUAAAAUUACAGACAUCCCUUGGUAUCCAUGGGGGAUUGGUUCCAGGACCUCUCGUAUACACCAAAAUCCACAUACACUCAAAUCCCACAGUUGGCCCUGUGGAACCUGUGGAUAUGACCAUUCGCAUCCCAAGAAUACUGUAUUUUCCACCUAUUCUUGGUUUCAGUUGUGGAACCCACUGAUAUGGAGGGCCAACUGUAUAUAUUGAAAACAAUUUGCAUAUAAGUAGACCCACACUGGUUCAGACCCCUGUUGUUCAGGGUCAGCUCUAUAUCUUUCCAACUUUGUGCAUUGAUUGAAAAACCAACAACAGUAUGAUAUUAGGGCUAUAACAGAUCUGUUAGGCCAAGCCCACAUGCCCCUGAACAGAACAUUCUGCACAUUGGGCCAACUUCCAACUGCCGGCACCUGAAGUUAUUUGCAUUAUCAGCUAUCUUUGUCCACCAGAGCCUGCUCUGCCUGCAUUUUGGGAAGACCUAAAGUGCCAAGGAAUUAACACACCCUGCAAGUAUGCUCAAUUGAAGGCAAUGAAUAGAAAAAGACCCCUGACUCCUUCACCCCUGGAUUUCAGGGAGGUAAAUCCAAGAUGUAUGCUAAGGAGGUGACACUUAAUGUCAGACACACACACCUGUUAUGAGAGUUUCCUGAUUGAAUAAGAAAGAGGCAUUCCAGGCAGAAGUACCCGAACAUACAAGAGUGCAAGACCAAGAGGCUAAGGCAGAUUGCUCUGUGCAAGAAGUGGCAGGUAGUGUGGCGUGGCUGGAGAUGAAGAAAUGACUGGAUUGGGAAGGACUUUAUCCACCAAUCUAAUGAAUUUGACUUUCAUCUUGAAGGUGUGAAAUAGCGUGCUAAACAAGUUUAAAAGCAAAAUGUCAUUAGCCUAUUUGUAUUUAGAAAGAGCACUCCAGAAGCAAGGAGGGGAUGGGUGAAUUGGAUGUACUGACACUGGAACAAGGAAAUUAUUCCAAUAGUCCAGGAAAGAAGAAGGACAUCAACUAAAAUUGCACAAGUGAACAUGGAAAAAAGAGGAUGCGUCUGAGAAAUAUAAAUAUUGGCCGGGGCGGUGGCUCACACCUGUAAUCCCAACACUUCGGGAGGGUGAGGUGGGCAGAUUGCUUGAACUCAGGAGUUCAAAACCAGCCUGGGUAACAUGGCAAAACCCCUCUCUACACAAAAUACAAAAAUUAGCCAAGCGUGAUGGCAUGGCCUGUAGUCCCAGUUACUCAGGAGGCUGAGGUGGGAGGAUCACUUGAGCCUGGGAGGUUGAGGCUGCAGUGAGCCAUGAUCUCGCCACUGCACUCCCACCUGGGAGAUAGAGUGGGACCCUGUCUAAAAAAAAAAACAAAGAAAUAUAAAUAUUGUAUUAGGGUUUACCAAAGAAACAGAACCAAUACGAUAUAUGUAUGUAUACGGGUAUAUAUAUAAGGAGAUUCAUAUAAGGAACUGACUCACAAGAUCACUGAGGCUGGCAAGUCUACAGGAUGAGCCAGCAAGCUGGAGACCCAGGAGAGAUUCUUUCUUACUCAGGGAGGAUCAGUUUUUUUGUUUUAUUCAGGCUUCUAACUGAUUGGAUGAGACUCACUCAUAUGUUAGGGAGGUCAAUUUGCUUUACUCAGGCUAUCCAUUUAAAUGUUAAUCUCAUCCCAAAACACCCUCAUACACACACCCAGGAUAAUGUUUCAGCAAGUAUCUGGGCACUCUAUGGCCCAGUCAAGUUGACACAUAAAAUUAAUCACAAAUAUGUUCCAGUAACUUAGUUUUUAAACAACUAGAUUCUUAUGAGAAUAAACUCAGGAUAGGAUAGGGGAAAUGCUUUCUGGCUUUCCACUUGCAUAUUCUUGGAAUGUCACUUUUUCUUAAAUGUUAAAAAUUGAAGGCCAGGCAUGGUGGCUCAUGCCUGUAAUCCCAGCACUUUGGGAGGCUGAGGUGGGUGGAUCACGAUGUCAGGAGUUCCAGACCAGCCUGACCAUCAUGGUGAAACCCCAUCUUUACUAAAAAUACAAAAAAAUAGCUGGGAGUGGUGGCGCGUGCCUAUAAUCCCAACUACUCAGGAGGCUGAGGCAGGAGAAUCACUUGAAACCUGGGAGACGGAGGUUGCAGUGAGCCAAGAUCACGCCACCGCACUGCAGCCUGGGCAACAAGAAUGAGACUCCAUCUCAAAAAAAAAAAAAAAAAAUGAAAAUGUGUCGUUAAUCAUCGAGAUAGUCUUUCAGUCUGCACUCAGUAAUAUUAAUGCCUUCUCAUUGAAGUCAUCUAUUCUGUUCCCAUAAAGAUCAGGAUAGUUUAGGUAGUGGUGAAUAAAUAAGGUUCUCAAUGGCCUAUUAGUUUUUUUAAAUGUUCAAAAGAUAGUAGCAUGUUGGGAAAAGAGAUGAAUUCCACAUUUCUUUUGGUACAGUACAACUUACUGAAAUUGCUUUCUUAUUUCAACAAGGAUUUACCAGGUUGUGUGUAGUGGUUAAAAGCAUGGACUUUACAGCCACAUUACAUGGGUUCAAAUCCACUUACUAGUUAUGUUAACCACAGGAAGUUAGCUAAUGUCUCUCUGCCUCAGUUUUCUGUUUGUAAAUUAGGAUAAAAAUCUCCGUAGAUGUGAAUAUGUAUAGCUAGAUAGUAGAUUGUAUUCAAAAUCCCAAUCAUAACAUAAUAAAAAUAUUAACUAUUAUUAGUUGUUUUGAAUAUACAACCUAAUUUCAUUUUCUCCAUGAUCUGAGCAUGUUGAGUUAUUUUUAAACAACUCCAUUUUACAGAUGAGACAGUGUUCCAAUAAGCUAGGUAGUAUGCCCACAGACACACAGCUAGCAGCUGAGAUGAACCACCCAAGUCUAUUUGGUUUUCAGCUCAUGUUCUUUUCAUGAUAUUUUGCUUUCUCUCAAUAUUUAUAGAAUUUAAUUUAAUUGACUAGAAUUAAACUAAGAGAAAAUGAUUGAAUGAAGAGAUGCAGAAGGCAAGAGAUAGCAAAGGUCAUUCUGGGCUGGGCAUGGUGGCUCACACCUGUAAUCCCAGCACUUUGGGAGGCCUAGGCGGGUGGAUCAUCUGAGGUCGGGAGUUCAAGACCACCCUGGCCAACAUGGUGAAACACCCCCGUCUGCUAAAAAUACAAAAAUUAGCUGGGUGUGGUGGCAGGCGCCUGUAAUUGCAGCUACUCGGGAAGCUGAGGCAGGAGAAUCGCUUGAACUGGGGAGGUGGAAGUUGCAGUGAGCCGAGAUGUGCCAUUGCACUCCAGCCUGGGCAGUAAGAGCGAAACUCCGUCUCAAAGCAAAAAAAAGAAAAGCUACCUUUACCAAAGACAGUUAAAAUGAUGGCCACCAAGGGGCAGUGUGCAGCAGGCAGAGAAGGUGGCUUUUUAAAUUAUUUUUCACUGCCUGCUGAGACAAAGAUGUUACACCAGAAUAUGCCACCCUAACAUAUGCUUCUUUGGCAUAAGGAUUAUUUUGAGCUGAAGACGAUUGAGAAGAAACAAAUAAAAGAAAAACUCUGCCUUCCCUUUCUUUGCCUAAAGGCAGGACAUGCUAGUUAAUGAUCAACCCCUGACCUAAUCGGUUAUGUUACCUAUAGAUUACAGACAUUUUAUAGAAAAAGAAAAACACGGUGAAAAUCCCUGUCCUGUUCUGUUCCAUUGUAAUUACCAGUGCAUGCAGCCCCCAAUCACAUACCCACUGCUUGCUCAAUCGAUCAUGACACUCUCAUGUGGACCCCCUUAGAGUUGUAAGCCCUUAAGAGGGAAAGGAAUUGCUCACUUGGGGAGCUCGGUUUUUGGAGACGUGAGUCUGCUGAUGCUCCCAGCUGAAUAAAGCCCUUCCUUCUACAACUCGGUGUCUGAGGGGUUUUGUCUGUGGCUACAAACCUGUCUUUGGCCAGUCUAAUUUACAGGACCUCAGCCAGAGAACUAAGAUGGGUAGAGGCAAUACAGGAGAUAGAAAUAAUUUAGGUAGGUAGAUAGGGUGAAAGAGUCCCUGACAAAAGCUUUUCUUCUGACAAAAAACAGCUCAGAAAUUACUUCCAUUCUAACCACAGGCAGUCCAAAUAAAUCACUUCUCUUUUAACAAAGAGCAGCCUGGAAGAUUGGACUGUAUAAUGUAGAUAAGCAUCUCCGGCACAGAGGGAGAGUUUCUUGGGUAGUCACCAAACUUACAUAAAUGGGUCCCAGUAAAAACAGUAGGCUUUAAUGAGCACAUUCCUUUCCCCUUUUUUGGACAGGGACACACUAAGGUUAGCUAGAAGCUUGCAUGGUGGGGUGGGGGAAAUGCCUGCAGCUGCAAGGAGGUACCCAGGACAAGGCAUGGAAACUCCCCCUAUUCUUGUUAGCACAUGCAAGGUGGAAGGAGAAAGGCAGUGUGGAGUCGCCCAAGCUAAGAGCCUGCCUGCAUGAUAAAAGAAUGGGGUAGGGGCUGCCAGAGAUUCCACUCUAUACAGAUGACACACCUGGUCCUAACCAGGUUUUCAUGCCCUAUGUAGAUAAGAUACCCGCUCCCUACUAGCUCGUUGAUAAAAACCCUCCAUUUUACUGCAGCACGGCAACCCGUCUGGGACCUCUCUCUGUGAGAGAGAGCUGUCCUUUUCCUUUUGCCUAUUACACUUCUCUAACUUCACCCUUUGUGUGUCUGCAUUCUUCAUUUCUGUGGCCAUGAGACAAAAAACCUCAGCUGAUAUCCCAGACAACAAGGCUGCUUUAGAGGGAAAACGGAUAGCUAAUAUUAUCAGUUAAUUGGCUAUGUUAAUUGAUACCUUCAAAUUAGGUGUUUUAAAAUAAAUGCUGAGAACAAUAUGAAAGUGUUUUUCUUUUACUAAUUCUCUGAGGAUUUUGUUAUUUAUUUAGCUUUACAAUGCCUAGCCCCCUUUAUAAAUGUAAUUAUUGUGUUGCUAAGUGCAUGUAUACAAAAAAUUCAUUGGUUCAAAAGCCAUAGGCCUGGUACCAUAGCCAUAUAUGGUACGUUCAAACCUUGGAAAUGCACAUUCUCAGUGUGUCGGAAGCUCUGUACUGCUCCUUCUUGAAGAACUACUUUGAUUUGUGGUUAACUCGCUGUUUUGACUCACUGUUUUAACUCCCAUUACUUCAGUAUCUGACAUUCAGCCUCAGAAUCUGGCCAGUGUAUCAGGGCUGGAAUUAAUUGAUUAACACCAUUAGAUGGCAGUACUAUUUAAAUUCCAAAAAUGGUUAUAAACUCAUUCUCUAAAAUGUGUGUCAAAUAGAAUAUUUGACUGAUAAUAACUCUAAGAGCACAAAAGGAUUAAACACACACACAAGACAAAGUUUGGGAUAUACCCAUUGGAAAAACCCUUGGUCUCUUUAAAUUUUUUUUCAUAUGUAUGUAUAUUGCACAUAUUGCCGGCCUCUUUAUCUCUUUUUUCCUUUUUUUUUUUUUUUUUUUUGAGAAGGAGUCUUACUCUGUCACCCAGGCUGGAGCACAGUAGUGCAAACAUGACUCACUGCAGCCUUGAACUCCUGGGCUCAAGCGACCUUGUCACCUUAGCCACUGUGACCAGCCUUCUUUUCCCUUUUGACUUUGUUAUAUCACACUGACUCUAGAAAUGUGGUUCUUUAUUGGGGCGAUUUUGCCCUCCCCCGGGGACAUCUGACAAGGUCUGGAGACAUUUUGAUUGUGGGUAGGGGGAGGGACACUCUGCUACAGGCAUCUAGUUGGCAGAGCCCAGAGAUACCGCUACACACCCUACACUGUGCAGAACAGCCCCUACGGCCAGGAAUUAUCAGGCCCAAACAAAAUACCAAGUUAGUUUUUAAUUUCAAAGUUUACGCGUAACAUUAUUUUUUAGAUAUAAAAAAUAUUCACACAUUAAUUUGAUCACAAGAAAUUUUAAAGAAAUUUAAACAUUUUCAGAAAAGGCUACUUCAAGGUGUCAUGACAGCUUUGGACCAAACAUUAAUGUUCUAUAUGACUUUGGGCAAGUCAGUCAUGUUUAUUAGACUUAAUAACCCAGGUAACGUUAGCUGUUGGAGGGUUUUUUAAAAAACGUUUUAUUUUGAAAAAACUUCAAACUUAAAGGAAAAAUGGCAAGAAUACUACAAAGACCUAUUUAUUCAGAUACACCAGUUGUCACAAUUUUGCCAUAUUAACUUUAUCUAUUGAUCAAUUUCUCUUUCAGUCUAUUGACCUAUCUAUCUUGAACUAUUUGGGAUUAAGUUGUAGACAUCUGAUCCCCUUACCCUUAAACACUUUACCACGUCUUCCUAAGAAUAAGACCAUUACUCCACACAGUACACUUAUCUAAAUCAGGAGACAGCAUUGUUAUAAUACUGUUACCAAGUGGCAAGCUGGUGCACUGUCCAGACAGGGAGAGAGGGAGAGAGGACCUGAUUUGUAACAUUUGCCAGUUCCCAUGUGUGAUGGUUUACUUUGGUUCAUAACUACCAUUGUCCUUGUUACAGUCUUUUAUUAAAAUGUGGGGUGUGUUAGGCCGCAAGGGCAGGCCUCAAGAAACAGAAUCUCUCUCCUGCCCUCCUUUCACCUGCCCCAAGGCAGGAUUCCAUCUUCUCCCACCUUUCCAACUGUGGGUCUUAAGACUUUUCAGAGAGGGUCCUGCCAUACACACUGGGGGAAGGAAUGCUGACGUCAUGAAGCUUCCAUGAAAACUCAAGAGGACUGAGUUCAGAGAGCUUCCGGAUAGCUGAAAACAUGGAGGUUCCUGGUUCCUGGAGGGUGGCGCCCCAGGCAUGGAAGCUCUGAGCCCCUUCCUCCGCACCUCAUCUCUUCAUCUGUAUCCUUUGUAAUAUCCUUUAUUAUAAAACAGCAAAUGUGUUUCCCUGAGUUCUGUGAGCCACUCCAGCAAAUCAAUCAAACCCAAAGAGGGGGUCAUGGGAACCCCAACUUGAAGCUCAAUCAGAAUUUCCCAAGGCCCAGAUUUGCAACUGAUAUCUGGGGGUGAGGGUGGUCUUGGGGUCUGAGCCCUCAAUCUGUGGGAUCUGAUGCUACCUCCAGAUAGAUAGUGAAGGAACUGGGUGGAGGUCCUGGCUUGUGUCUGCCUCUUGGUGGUGGGGAGAAGUUCCCACACAUAUGGUCACAGGAGUCUUCUGUGUUGAUGAUUGCUGUUGUGGUGUGAGAGCAGAGGAAAAACACAGUUUGAGAGAGUUUUCCCAAAAUACCAUGGUAAGUGGCUCAUCAUGGCUGAUUUCAGGUUAUCAACAGCUUAACAACCAGCUCAAAACAUGCUUUGCUGUUUAACAAUCAACUCUCAGGGAAUCAGUGAACUGACACCAAGAAACUGGACACCCUCCACCGGUAACAUAUUUUGGCGAGCCAGCCAGGAGAAGGUAGGCCCAAAGUUUGGGAUUUAUUUUUCUCCUUUCCCCUUUUACAUACAGGGAGAUUUUUCUCUGUCUGUCUGUUCCUUUCCACCUCGGGACCCUUGGUGGGAAGCGCAGAAACAUGGAAGCAACUGCAGGUUUCUGGCUGUGACCAGUGAAAUAAGGGGUUUCCAUGUGGAGGUGCCUAACCACCACCACCCUAUUCACUUAAGGGACCUGAGUGUUUUUCUUUUUUCUUUUCCUUUGUUUGUUUUUCAGUCUUUUAGCGGCUGUUUCCUAGUAGCUUCUUGGAAAUUGAGGGCAAUUCGCUGGGGUCACUCCCUGGUAUCGCCUGAAGGCCAAAGAGUGAAUGGGAAUAAUUGCCCUACCCAGAAGGGGGAAUGACUCUUUUUUUUUUUUAUCUUUUCCAGGUGUGGUCCCUGAUCCCUACGGUGGUGGUGGUAACUCACACUUGUUUCAGUUCUGAAACUGCUCUUCCUGCUGCUGGAGCCCCCACCCCUGCUCCAUUUUGAAGUAGCUGAUCCGGAUCAGCUUAGAUUGUGCCAAGUUUCAAGAAAAAGAUGAAAUAUGAGUUGCAUUUUGACAAAUGAAGAGGAUGUGAAGGGCAGAAGGAGCAGAAACUACCAGCAGAGAUGCUAAGAUGAAAGGCACAGAGUGCAAGUUGGAUUGAAAAAACAAGACCUAUCCGAGUGCUGACUUCAAAAGACUCAUCUCAUACAUAAUGACACCCAUAGGCUCAAAGUAAAGGAUUGGAUAAAUAUUUAUUAUGCAAAUGGAAAACAAAACAAAAAAAAGAGCCAGAGUCACUAUUCUUAUAUCAGAUAAAAUAGACUUUAAACCAACAAAAGUAGAAAAGGACAAAGAAGGGCAUUAAAUAAUGAUAAAGAUUUCAGUUAAACAAGAAGACUUAACUAUCCUAAAUAUAUAUGCACCCAACAUUGGAGCACCCAGAUUCAUAAAACAAGUACUUCUAGACCUAUGAAAAGACCUAGACAGCCAUAAAAUAGUAGCGGAGGUUUUCGACACCCCAUUAGAAAGGUCAUUGAGGCAGAAAACUAACAAAGAAAUUCUGGACUUAAAUUGGACACAACCAGCUGGACCUAAUUGACACCUACAGAACACUCCACUGAUCAACCACUCUUCUCAUCUGCACACAGAACAUACAUCAAGAUUGAUCACUAGCUUAGCCAUAAAGCAAGUCUCAAUAAAUUCAAAAAAUCAAGAUCAUACCAACCACAAUCUUGGGCCACGGUGGAAUAAAAUAGAAAUCAAUACCAAGAAGAUCUCUGAAAACCACACAAUUACAUGGAAAUUAAAAAACUUACUCCUGAAUGACUUUUGAGCAAACAAUAAAGUUAAGGCAGAAAUUAAAAAAUUAUUUUAAAUAAAUGAAAACAAAGAUACAACAUACCAAAAUCUCUGGGAUGCAGCAAAAGCAGUGUUAAGAGGAAAGUUUAUAGCACUUAACGCCUACCUCAAAAAGUUAGAAAGAUCUCAAAUUAACCAUCUAAUAUAAUUCCUAGAAGAACUAGAAAAACAACAACAAACUAAACCUAAAACUAACAGAAUAAAAUAAGUAACUAAAAUCAGAGCAGAACUAAACCAAAUUGAGAUGCAAAAAUCCAUACACAGAAUCAACAAAACCAAUAACUGGUUAUUUGAAAAGAUAAACAAGACUGGCAGACCACUAGCUAGAGUAACAAAGAAAACGAGAGAGACAAAAGAUCCAAAUAAGCACAAUGAGAAAUGACAAAGGCAAUAUUGCAACCAAUACCACAGAAAUACAAAAGGUCCUCAGAGACUAUUAUCAACACCUCUAUGUGCACAAACUAGAAAAUCUAGAGGAAAUGGAUACAUUUCUGGAAGCACACAACCUCCCAAGAUUGAAUCAGGAAGAAAUUGAAACCCUGAACAGAACAAUAUCAAGUUCCAAACUUGAAUCAGUAAUAAAAAACCUACCAAACAAAAAAAGCCCUGGUCCAGAUGGAUGCACAGCUGAAUUCUACCAGAUGUUCAAAGAAGAGCUAGUACCAAUCCUAGCUCUUCGAUUGAUUCUUGGAAUCAUUUUUGGAAAUGAUUCCAAAAAAUCAAGCAGGAGAAACUCCUCCCUAAUUCAUCCUACAAAGCCAGAAUCACCCUAAUACCAAAACCUGGCAAAGACACAACAAAAAAAGAGAAAAUCACAGGCUAAUAUCCCUGAUGAACACAGACAGAAAAAUCCUCAACAAAAUACUAGCAAACCAAAUCCAGCAGCAACAUACACAAAUCAACAAAUGUAAUGCAUCACAUAAACAGAACUAAAGACAAAAACCAUAUGAUCAUCUCAAUAGACAUGGGAAAAGCUUUCAGUAAAAUCCAACAUCCUUUCAUGAUAAAAGCCCUCAGCAAACUAGGCCUCAAAGGAACAUAUUUCAAAAUAAUAAGAGCCAUCUAUGACAAACUGAUAGCCAACAUACCAAAUGGGGAAAAGCCAGAAGCAUUCCGCCUGAGAACCAGAACAAGACAAAGAUGCCCACUGUCACCUCUCCUAUUUAACGUAGUCUUGGAAGGGCUAGCCAGAGCAAUCAGUCAAGAGAAAUAAAAGGCAUCAAAACAGGAAAAGAAGAAAUCAAACUAUCUCUCUUCACUGAUAAUAUGAUUCUAUACCUAGAGAACCAUAAAGACUCUAUCAAAAGGCUCCUGGAAUGAUAAAUGACUUCAGUGAAGUUUCAGGAUACAAAAUCAAGACACAAAAAUUAGUAGCAUUUCUAUCUACCAAUAAUGUACAAACUGAGAGCCAAAUCAAGAAUGCAAUUCCAGGGCCAGGUGUGGUGGCUCACACCUGUAAUCUCAGCACUUUGGGAGGCUGAGGUGGCCAGAUCACUUGAGGUGAGGAGUUCGAGACCAGCCUGGCCAACAUGACGAAAAUCUGUCUCUGCUAAAAAUACAUUAGCCUGGUGUAGUGCCGGGCACCUGUAAUCCCAGCUACUCAGGAGGUUGAGGUGAGAGGAUGGCUUGAGUCCAGGAGGUGGAGGCUGCAGUGAGCUGAGAUGGUGCAACUGCACUCAAGCCUGGGCAACAGAGUAAGACUCUGUCUCAAAAAAAUAAAAAAAAAUAAGCCAGUCGCAGUGGCUCACACCUGUAAUCCCAGCCCUUUGGGAGGCCGAGGCGGGCGGAUCACCUGAGGUCAGGAGUUCGAGACUGGCCUGGUCAACAUGGUGAAACCCCAUCUCUACUAAAAAGUACAAAAAUUAGCCAGGCAUCGUGGUGGGCGCCUGUAAUCCCAGCUACUCAGGAGGCUGAGGCAGGAUAAUUGCUUGAACUUGGGAGGCAGAGGUUGCAGUGAGCCAAGAUCGCACCACUGCACUCCAGCCUGGGCAACAAGAACAUGACUCCAUCUCAAAAAAAAAAAAAAAAAAAAAGCAAUUCCAUUUAUGAUGGCCACAAAAACAAUAAAAUAUCCAGGAAUACAUCUAACCAAGGAGGUGAAAGAUCUCUACAGGGCAAACUGUAAAACUCUGCUGAAAGAAAUCAUAGAUGAGACUGGGCGUGAUGGCUCAUUCCUGUAAUCCCAGCACUUUGGGAGGCCAAGAUGGGCAGAUCACGAGGUCAAGAGAUCGAUACCAUCCUGGCCAACAUGGUGAAAUCCUGACUCUACUAAAAAUGCAAAAAUUAGCUGGGCAUGGUGGUGCACACAUGUAGUCCCAGCUAUUCAGAAGGCUAAUGCAGGAGAAUCGCUUGAACCUGGGAGGCAGAGGUUGCAGUGAGCUGAGAUUGCACCACUGCACUCCAGCCUGGUGACAGAGCGAGACUCCAUCUCAAAAAAAAAAAAAAAAAAGGAAUCAUAGAUGACACAAAGAGUAAAGCAUUUGAUGCUCAUGGAUUGGAAGAAUCAAUAUUGUUAAAAUGGUCAUACUGCCCAAAGUAAUCUAUAGACUUAAUGCUAUUCUUAUCAAACUGCCAACAUCAUUUUUUCACAGAAUUAGAAAAAAACUAUCCUAAAAUUCAUAUGGAACCUAAAGGAGCCUGAGUAGCUAAAGCAAUCCUAAGCAAAAAGAACAAAGCUAGAUAUAUCAUACUAUCCAACUUCAAACAAUACUAUAAGUCUACAGUAGGCUGGGCUCGGUGGCUCAUGCCUGUAAUCCCAGCACUUUGGGAGGCUGACUUGGGCGGAUCACGAGGUCAAGAGAUCUAGACCAUCUGGCCAACAUGGUGAAACUCCGUCUCUACCAAAAAUAUAAAAAAUCAGCCAGGUGUGGUGGCACGCACCUGUAGUCCCAGUUACUCAGGAGGCUGAGGCAGGAGAAUCCUCAGCUUCAGGAGGCUGAGGCAGGAGGCGGAGGUUGCAGUGAACCAAGAUUGCACCACUGCACUCCAGCCUGGGCCACAGAGUAAGAUUUCAUCUCAAAAGAAAAAAAAAAGACUACAGUAAACAAAACAGCAUGGUACUGGUACAAAAAUAGACACACAGACCAAUGGAACAGAGUAGAGAACCCAGAAAUGAAGCAGCAUACCACAUACUUACAGUCAUCUGAUCUUCCACAAAGUUGACAAAAAUAAGCAAUAGGAAAAGGACUCCCUAUUCGAAAAAUAGUGCUGGGAUAGCUGGCUAACCAUAUGCAGAAGAAUGAAACUAGACUCCUAUCUUUCACCAAAAGUUAACUCAAGAUGGUUUAAGGAUUUAAAAGACCUCAUACUAUAAGAAUCCUGGAAGAAAACCCAGGACUCACCAUUCUGGACAAUGACCUUUGGAAAGAAUUUAUGACCAAGUCCUCAAAAGCAAUUGCAGCAAAAAUGAAAGUUGAUAAGUGAGAUCUAAUUAAACUAAAGAGCUUCUGCACAGCAAAAGAAACUAUCAACAGAGUGAACAAUCUACAGAAUGGGAGAAAAUAUUUGCAAACUCUGCCUCUGGCAAAGGUCUAAUAUCCAGGAUCUACCAUAAAAUUAAAUAAUUUAACAAACAAAAACCAAAUAAUCUCAUUAAAAAGUGGGCAAAAGACAUGAAUAGACACUUCUCAAAAGAAGAGAUACAAACAGCCAACAAACAUAUGAAAAAAUGCUCAAUAUCAGUGAUUGUUAGGGAAAUGCAAAUCAAAACCAGAACACCAACCAGAAUGGCUAUUAUUAAAAAGUCAAAAACCCCAGGCUGGAGUGCAGUGGCAUGAUCUAGGCUCACCACAACCUCCGCCUCCCGGGUUCAAGCGAUUCUCCUGAAUCAGCCUCCCAAGUAGCUGGGAUUACAGGCACACACCACCAUGCCCAGCUAAUUUUGUAUUUUUAGUAGAGAUGGGCUUUCUCCAGGUUGGUCAGGCUGGUCUCGAACUCCCAAACUCAGGUGAUCUGCCCGCCUCGGCCUCCCAAAGUGCUGGGAUUACAGGCAUGAGCCACCUCGCCCAGCCUACAAAAAAUUUUAAAAAAUUAGCCAGGCGCUGUGGUGUGUACCUGUGGUUCCAGCUACUCGGGAGGCCGAGGUAGGAUAAUUACUUGAGUACAGGAGGUCAAGGCUACAGUGAGCAAUGUUCACGACAUUACACUGCAGCCUGGGUGACAAAGUGAGACCCUGUUUAAAAAAAAAAAAACAACUCAAAAAACAACAGAUGUUGGCAAGGCUGUGGAGAAAAAGGAACAUUUCUACACUGUUGGUGGGAAUGUAAAUUAGUUCAGCUACCGUGGAAAGCAGUUUGGAGACUUCUCAAUGAAUUUUAAAAAGAACUACCAUGGUCAGGCGCGGUGACUCACGCCUGUAAUCCCAGCACUUUGGGAGGCUGAGGCGGGUGGAUCACCUGAGGUCAGCAGUUCGAGACCAGCCUGACCAACAUGGUGAAACCCCAUCUCUACUAAAAAAUACAAAAAUUAGCCGGGCAUGGUGGCGGGUGCCUGUAAUCCCAGCUACUCGGGAGGCUGAGGCAUGAGAAUCGCUUCAACCUGGGAGGCGGAGGUUGCAGUGAGCCGAGAUCAUGCCGUUGCACUCCAGACUGGGCGACAGAGCAAGACUUCAUCUCAAAACAAACAAACAACAAAAAAAACUACCAUUUCACCCAGGAAAAAUCCCAUUACUGGCCAUCUAUCCAAAAGAAAACAAAUCAUUCUACCAAAAAGACACAUGUACUCUCACGUUCAUCACAGCGCUAUUCACAAUAGCAAAGACAUGGAAUCAACUUAGGUGCCCAUCCAUGGUAGGCUGGACAAAGAAAGUGUGGUAUGUAUAUACCAUAGAAUACUACACAGCCAUAAUGAAAGAAUGAAAUCAUGUCCUUUGCAGCAACACGGAUGCAGCUGGAUUAUUCUAAGCAAAUUAAUGCAAGAACAGAAAACCAAAUACCAUACCACAUGUUCUCACUUAAAAGUGGGAGCUAGGCUGGGCACGGUGGCUCACGCCUGUAAUCCCAGCACUUUGGGAGGCCAAGGCAGGUGGAUCACUUGAGGUCAGGAGUUUGAGACCAGCCUGACCAAUAUGGUGAAACCCCAUCUCUACUAAAAAUACAAAAAUUAGCUAGGCAGCCGGGCAUGGUAUUUCACACCUGUAAUCCCAGCACUUUGGGAGGCCGAGGCGGGAGGAUCACGAAGUCAGGAGAUCGAGGCCAUCCUGGCUAACACGGUGAAACCCUGUCUCUACUAAAAAUACAAAAAAUUAGCUGGGCAUGGUGGCAGGUGCCUGUAGUCCCAGCUACUCGGGAGGCUGAGGCAGGAGAAUGGCGUGAACCCGGGAGGCGGAGCUUGCAGUGAGCCGAGAUCGCACCACUGCACUCCAGCCUGGGCAACAGAACGAGACUCCGUCUCAAAAAAAAAAAAAAAAAAAAAAAUUAGCUAGGCAUGGUGGCCCUCGCCUGUAAUCUCAGUUUACUCAGGAGGAUAUGACAGGAGAAUUGUUUGAAUCCAGGAGGCGGAGGUUGCAGUGAGCGGAGAUCAGGCCACUGUACUCCAGCCUGGGCGACAGAGCAAGACUCCAAUGUCAAAAAAUAAACAAAUAAGUAAGUGGGAGCUAAACCCUGGUUACCCAUGGAUGACAAGAUGGCAACAGUAGACAGUGGGGACUAUUACAGAAGGGAGGUAGGGAGCAGAGCAAGAGUUGAAAAACUAACUAUACGAUACUAGGCUCACUACCCAGGUGACAGGAUGAACAUACCCCCAAUCUCAGCAUCACGCAGUAUACCCGUGUAACCAACCUGCACAUGUACCCCCACAUUUAAAAUAAAAGUUGAAAUUAUUUUUUUAAAAAAUACUUAUUAAAUAUCUAUUAAAUUGUUGUUGUUGUUGUUUUGAGAGGGAGUCCAGGCUGGAGUGCAAUGGCGCCAUCUCGGCUCACUGCAACCUCCGCCUCCUGGGUUUAAGCGAUUCUCCUGCCUCAGCCUCCCAAGUAGGUGGGAUUACAGGCACCUGGCACCACGCCUGGCUAAUUUUUUUUUUUAUUUUUAGUAGAGACUGGGUUUAACCAUGUUGGUAGGGCUGGUCUUGACCUCCUGACCUCAGGUGAUCAGCCUGCCUCAGCCUCCCAAAGUGCUGGGAUUACAGGUGUGAGCCACCGAGCCCAGCCAAAAUUAACUGUUAAUGUAAUAUUAAACUAUUAUUUGUAAUGCAGAAGGGCUUAUCUAAAGUAAAGCAGCUCAGUUAUGUAGUAAAAUCUCAGAAGUCUAAAAUGCCUUGCUUAUCUUUUUAAGAUAAAUAAUUGUAAGACAGCUCAAGUAAGCAGCCUAAUAUCCACGUGUAUAGGAGUAUGUGUGUGCAUGUGUGUGUAUGUGUGUGCAUGUGAGUGUGUGUGUAAGCUCAUGGGUUUUUUUCUUUUCCUUUUUCAGAGUAAAUAUGCUUUGAAAAUUUGACAUCCAUGAUUAAAUGUAAUAUAUUGCUUUGCUUCACAUUUCAUAAUAGCAUGCUAUUUGAUCUGAUUUAUUCUUAUUGUCUAGUUCCAGAAAGUUUUUUCCCUCUGGUUCCAUCAGUUAAGUCACACUUGAAGAACAAAUUAUAUUGUGAGAAACACAUGACUGGUCUUUUCUGUUUCUCUCCUGUCCUCCUUUUGUCAUGGCCACAGCUCAGAAUAAAAGAGUUCCACAAAAUGUGUACCACAGUGGCCAGGCUGGCAUGGCAAGGCCAGAGGUGCUGGGACACCCUGACCAACAUGGUCAAACUCCGUCUCUACUAAAAACACAAAAAUUAGCCGGACGUGGUGGCACACGCCUGUAAUCCCAGCUACUCGGGAGGCUAGGGCAGGAGAAUUGUUUGAGCCUGGGAGACGGAGGUUGCUGUGAGCCGAGAUUGUGCCACUGACUGCACUCCAGCCUGGCUGACAGAGUGAGACUCUGUCUCAAAAAAAAAAAAAGAAAAAGAAAAAGAAGAGAAAGGGCAGGGAAACACCCAGCAGCUGGCCUCACUUUCUCAGCAAAUAAGUAAUUCAGGAUGGAAAGGAGUUUUUAAGGUGAGAUUCUUUCAAGUGUGACAAAGCUCUUUAGAGCAUGAGAAUCCUAAACUGUGUAGUUGUGCCACUGCUCUGCCAUUGGAAUGGCCAGCACCAGAUAUGGGCUGUUCCUACCGCCUGGGUUCCAGAGUGAAAAAUACCGUGGACCACAGUGGCAUCUGACGCAUAGCCAGCAUGGAAUAUGGGCAAAUGAAUGAUAAAUGAUCAACUUCCGUUUAAGUGAGACACUGAGAUUUGGGGGCGGUGUAUUAUUGUAGCAUAACCCAGCAAAAGCUGGCAUGGAAACAGGAAACCUGGAGCUAAUGCCAAGAAGAGGUUGUGUGGUGAAAGUAUCUUGGUCUCUUCAGAAUUAACAAGGAUUUAAGGAUGUCUGUUCAUAGACAUGGCUGUUGCCAUCCUGUCCCCCUCCCCUCUCCUAAGGACAUGUUUCUAUACAAGCCAGCAGCAUCUUUUAAACCUCAUAGUUUGUACCCUUUUACACUAUGUUGUGUGAGUCAAUGUAAUUCCCACUCUGGCCCCUGCCCACCUGCUUGAUGCUGGAGCCCUCUUUGUUUUCGUAAAGCUGGGCGGCUUCCAGACCCAAAUCCAGCCUUUACAGCCACUGCCUCUUCCCUACGUAGGGUUCCGUUUAGGAUCCUGGUAGGUGGACAAGUAGUGAACAAGACAGAUGACAGAUGCUCCAGGUUCACAUCCAAGUUUUGGGGGGUUGAGAGCUUUUCCAUUUGGAUGUCCUUCUUUAAGAACAAGAAGGUAAAAUUGUGAAUACGGAAUGAGAUAUGGGGUCUUGGUGGGGCCCAUGCCAGCAAGGGGCCUGAAGCUCCUCAUUAGCUUCCGAUGUGGGGGUGGGGGAGUAGAAGUGGGCAGUACAGGAGGAAGUGACAAGAAUUCUCAGGGGUGGGGAGAACUGUGUCGAAAAUAAACAAGGAAGUGCAACAGGAAAUGACUGGGUGGCUUCUUCAGGCUGGGUAGGACGCUGCUGAAUUUAUCUGAUAAAAAUCUCCUCUCUGUGAGUUGUGGAAAGUGGCUUGCUGCGAGAGACCCCCUUCUUCCCCACAUAACAUAGGUAAGAGUGAUAGAAGUGAUGCAGCUGGGCGCUGUCUCCAAAAAAAAAAAAAAAAAAAGGAAAAGUGACGGAUGCUCCCCUCACUCCACCCCCUACCCAUUACCUAGGACAAAGCCAGACACAGAUCCUCCAAUUCCCAUUCUUCACCUCAUCAAUGAUGAGCCAGUCAAUAGAAAUAACACACUUGUUAAGCAAACUUGGUGAGGCUCCUCUCUUCCCCCGAGGCUGAGGACUUUUGGCCUCAUCUUAGCCUGAGUCAGUCCCCCCUGAGAACAGGCUGGCCACGGGGUCAACCUUCUCUGAUCUAAUGUCCUAUGAAGGCAGGUUCUCAUCCCACUUCUCCAUUCCCAGUUCAUUCUUUCUCUCUCUUUCUUUUUCUCUCUUUCUUCUUUCUUUCAUUCAUUCUUUUUGUUGUUGUUGUUGACCGAGUCUCACUCUGUCGCCCAGGCUGGAGUGCAGUGGCGCGAUCUCGGCUCACUGCAACCUCUGCCUCCUGGGUUCAAGCGAUUCUCCUGCCUCAGCCUCCAGAGUAGCUGGGAUUGAGGGAAGAGAGAGACCCUCUCAUAUUGUUUUAUAUUGUUUUAUACUCAGUACCUGUUUUAAGAAAAAAACAAGGAAGUGAAAUCAAAGACAGGCAGCCCGGCGCCAGGCCCAAAACCGGACCUGGGCCUGCCUGGCCUAAACCUAGUAGUUAAAAAUCAACUCAUGACUUAGAGACCGAUGUUAUUCAUAGAUUCCAGACAUUGUAUAGAAGAACAUUGUGAAACUCCCUGCCCUGUUCUGUUUCUCUCUGACCACCAGUGCAUGCAGCCCGUCACGUACCCCUUGCUUGCUCAAAUCAAUCACGACCCUUUCAUGUGAAAUCUUUAAUGUUGUGAGCCCUUAAAAGGGACAGAAAUUGUGCAUUCGGGGAGCUCGGAUUUUAAGGCAGUAGCUUGCCGAUGCUCCCAGCUGAAUAAAGCCCUUCCUUCUAUAGCUCGGUGUCUGAGAGGUUUUGUCUGCCGCUCCUCCUGCCACAGGAUUACAGUCGCGUGCCACCCCCGCCCAGCAAAUUUUUGUAUUUUUAGUAGGGACAAAAGGCCCCCAGGCCCCUGCAAUAAUGGUCCUCAUAACACCACUCCUCCCCGAGUCCAGAUUUGCUUUAUAUUUGGCAGUGGUCACAACAGCCCU